rnacentral:rRNA from 1 species
CCCUUUCUGGUUGAUCCCGGCGGAGGCCACUGCUAUCGGAGUUCGAUUAAGCCAUGCGAGUCGAGAGGUGUAAGACCUCGGCAUACUGCUCAGUAACACGUGGACAACCUACCCUAAGGAGGGGGAUAACCCCGGGAAACUGGGGAUAAUACCCCAUAGACUAUGGAUGCUGGAAUGCUCUGUAGUUGAAAGGUCCGCCGCCUCAGGAUGGGUCUGCGGCCGAUUAGGUUGUUGUUGGGGUAACGGCCCAACAAGCCUGUAAUCGGUACGGGUUGUGGGAGCAAGAGCCCGGAGAUGGAUUCUGAGACACGAAUCCAGGCCCUACGGGGCGCAGCAGGCGCGAAAACUUUACAAUGCGAGCAAUCGUGAUAAGGGAACUCCGAGUGCCCGUAAAAUCGGGCUGUCCGCCAGUGUAAAUAACUGGUGAAGAAAGGGCCGGGCAAGACCGGUGCCAGCCGCCGCGGUAAUACCGGCGGCUCGAGUGGUGGCCACUAUUACUGGGCUUAAAGCGUUCGUAGCUGGUCUGUUAAGUCUCUGGGGAAAUCUUCCGGCUUAACCGGAAGGCGUCUCAGGGAUACUGACAGACUAGGGACCGGAAGAGGUGAGAGGUACUCCAGGGGUAGGAGUGAAAUCCUGUAAUCCUUGGGGGACCACCUGUGGCGAAGGCGUCUCACCAGGACGGCUCCGACAGUGAGGAACGAAAGCUGGGGGAGCAAACCGGAUUAGAUACCCGGGUAGUCCCAGCUGUAAACGAUGCGCGUUAGGUGUAUCGGUGACCACGAGUCACCGAGGUGCCGAAGAGAAAUCGUGAAACGCGCCGCCUGGGAAGUACGGUCGCAAGGCUGAAACUUAAAGGAAUUGGCGGGGGAGCACCACAACGGGUGGAGCCUGCGGUUUAAUCGGACUCAACGCCGGGAAACUCACCGGAUAAGACAGCUGAAUGAUUGCCGGGCUGAAGACUCUGCAUGACUAGCUGAGAGGAGGUGCAUGGCCGUCGUCAGUUCGUACUGUGAAGCAUCCUGUUAAGUCAGGCAACGAGCGAGACCCAAA